GUGGCUCAAUGGUAGAGCGCUUGCCUCGCAUGCAUGAAGCCCUGGGUUCGAUUCCUCAGC
rnacentral:tRNA from 1 species